GCCAACACUAGUAACAAAACCCAGCACUAUACACACAAACUUGCGAUUUUAGCGGGGAAAAAAUAAUUUGAGAGCGUGAAGUGUGAUUCUUCUCACUAAGGAAUUCAUACCUCUCAUCAUCUACGACUGAUUACAAACAAAAAUCUCAAUUUUUUCGUCCUAAUUGAUUCUUCAAAAUCAGGUUGUAACUGGGAUAACUUUACCAUCAGGGGAUAAGCUUUACACAGGGAGUAAAGACGAGCAUGUCAGGAUUUGGGAUUGUGCAUCCGUACAGGUUCAAAGGGAGUUUCACUUACAUGCAGGAGACUUCCCCAAUGUGGAGCACUUCAGGGAGGUUCUCAGGGGUCAUAACUUCGACAAGCUCGAAAAAUAGAAACCAAAAAAAGUACAAGCUGUUGAUGACAUGCUGAGCUAUGACAUCCCUGGUUGAAUUUUUUCAGCUAAAGUGCUUUAUCAAAGCGGAAGCUCACACAAGUCAAGCCGGGCUAGCUUAAUAGACAAGCCUUCUUGAAGUGGAAUAGAUUUGCUUCUUUAUGAAUUGAGAGAAGCUUUAUUAGAUGAACUGAAGAUCCAGCUUUGCUGCCAUGUCUCUCUUGUUAAAGAGGAAGGAGACUACAAUUAUAGGAUUUUUUACUAGUUGGAGUUGUGGCCUCUUAGAAGGCUUAUUAUUGAACUAACUAAUGGCUAUAUGCAUUUCGACAGUUAGUUUAUCAAAGAAAUGGGCGGGCAUAAUAGACGAAAUGUGCAUUACAUGAAACAUGCCACUACAUAGAAUGAUUACAAAGAUUUAUUUUAGUGUUUGCAUGUACAUUAAUUAGUGCUAAUUAUUUUUGGUGAAAACUUUAGUACUAACUUACCAAGUGUGCUCUUCGGUUAAUUAUGUACUUGUCUCUACAAAAUACUAUAUAAUAAUAGUAUUUAUUUCGCUUCGUUUGCUAAUCAUGAAGCAUUCUAAAGGCAUGUUUUGCUCUA